UACGUAGGGGGCUAGCGUUGUCCGGAAUCAUUGGGCGUAAAGCGCGUGUAGGCGGCCCGGUAAGUCCGCUGUGAAAGUCGGAGGCUCAACCCUUGGAUGCCGGUGGAUACUGUCGGGCUAGAGUGCGGAAGAGGCGAGUGGAAUUCCUGGUGUAGCGGUGAAAUGCGCAGAUAUCAGGAGGAACACCAACUGCGAAGGCAGCUCGCUGGGACGGGACUGACGCUGAGACGCGAAAGCGUGGGGAGCAAACAGG
rnacentral:rRNA from 1 species